CCCUAAUGAGGGGGUGGGGGCCCUGUGCUGGCUCUCUCCAGCCCCCCCUCCCGUGGCCCCCAGCCCCAUCCACCCAGCUUGUCCCUCAUCAUUCCCUCUCAGCGGGGCUGGGGGGAGGCCAGCGUGGGGGCCAGGAGGAGGAGGAGGAGGAGGAGGGGGAGGAGGAGGAGGCAGCCUUCGCCCUCGAGAGACACAGGCAGGUCCAGCCUUCGCCCCGUACGGGGGUGGUGUGACGAGCUGGCCGGGACUCAGCGCCGGUGGCAGGAUGGGGACAGUCCCCACAUCCCCCACCCACCUUGUGGUGGGUCUCUGCUCUUCAUCCAGCGUUGUUUUAAUGACUCCAGGGGCUCACAGCUGGCCGGCAGGGCCGGUGCCGCACCAAAAAGCCGAAAUAAAACAGUUCCGCUGGAAGCGGGGUGAGGUCGCGGUGAGCAACAGCAAUUUUCCAGCUGCGGGAUGAAGGGAAUUAGGCCAAAAAAAGUGCAAAAUAAAAAGGUCACGGCGAAGACAGCAUCUGAGCAGUCAGUGGGGUGCCAGGCGAGGGGCUCGCUGGCGUCGGCAGCGCCUCCAAAAUCAACAGCAGGGCUGUGGGGAGGGUGCUGGGGUGGGGGGCUCCCCGUGCUGUGGCCCCCCGACACUGGGGGACAUCAAAGGGUGGUGACCGGCGGGGACGGGCAGCGGGUGGAAAGGCGGCUCCGGUGGGGUGGCUUUGAUACUGGAAAGCAAAAAAAAAAAAACCAAAAAUAAACAAA